CUCCGGCCCUGGGAUCGGCCACAGCCAACCGUUACGCAACCUCAGAUUGACUAGACUUUGAACCAGUCCACUGCUGAUGCAUAGCUCACGGCCCUCCCAUCGACAGGCAGGGAUGUGGAAGUUCCGCGGUCAGGGAUGGAACACACACUACAGCAGUAACAACAGUGGGCCCUUAACCCGCUGCACCACCAGGGAACUCCUGGAACUCAUCCUUAAUGGUGCUGUCGGCCAUGUCUAAGUUUAUGGGGUGUCCAGUUUUAACCACAACAUAGCUCCACCUCUGGGGACACUUUCUUAGGAUCUGGUGUUAAUGAAAUCAGCCAUUCAAAUGCAUAACCAUGAAAACACAGUACACACCUUGACACCAGCGUGGCUGAUCUCCCCAAGGGGCUGGAGAUUCCCAUGGUGCCGAUAAAACAGUAACAGUGACACCAAGAUCCUUCCCGAGUUUAAGAUUUAUCUCUCUAUCAAAACUGCCUCCUCUGACCUCAAGCCCUUUCUCGUCACCUCUGAACUCCAACCUGUGCUAAGCGAACACUAAUCAAACAGACAACUGAGACAGUUGCUGUCACAACAUCAUCCGCUCACUGUAGCUGCGGCUGUAUCCUCAGGAACUACAGACUCGGGGUGUUUCCCAGGGCAGCGUGAGCACCCAGAUCCCCGAGCCAUGGACCACCUGGCCAGAGAGUCGCCAACUGGAGAAUCCUGACACCUAAAACUAAGAAAAGUCGUAGACAUGUCAUAAGACAAUGGUUAACCCCAGUUUUUUCAUUCUUCCCCCUUUAAAACACCCCCAACUCGAAGACCAAGACGGAGGGCAUCCGAGGCUUGUCUCCUUCUCCUUUGCUUGAUGCCCUGCAAAUAAACCCUCACUUUGCCGCACACGCCCGCUGUCAGAGUUGGGCUUUUGGCACCCCGGGCACACCAACUCUUCCUUGAGAGCGCUCAGGGCCUUGGGGUCUGCAGGCCCUCUGCUGGUGUGGGGCUUCUCCUUCGCAGAUCCAGCAGCUCCCGGGCCCCUUUGGCCUGGGGAUCUGGCUGGAGAAUUCCCCUCCAGAGUUUCAGUAUCCCUAGGCAAUAUUUUAGGCUAGCUGCAAAGGCACGAUUUUUGGGUUGGAAGAUGUCUAUUGGUUUAAUAAAAGUAAGAGCCUAAGAUGGCCUUUGGAA